ensembl:lncRNA
CGCCUGCAAGCGCCCUCUGCCCUCACUGAAUCCCUGCUAAAGCCACAGGUAGCUAGCUACUCUGGACGAAUAGCCUUUCCCCGGAGGCAGCAGGCAGGUGAAUUUUAUUUUUUUUACUCCCGUUUCAAAAUUUUAUUUCACACUUUCAGUUACUUUAUAGGACACAGUGUAAGUCCAUCGAGGCAGAUCAAGAGUUUGCAUGAACCAUCCUCUCCAGUCUCCGCGAUGGUCUGUGGCAAGAACCUGGCGUUUGAUGUGACAUUUUUCCCCCCCAGGGGCUGCAAAGUCACCAUUACUCGCGCGGCUCAUCCUCAGAAGGAGCAGCCGAGGGCCCGCAGGUGGCGGGGGCAGGGGAGACUCCAAAGGACUAAGCGCGGGCCGCGGCGAAGGCGCGCGCGGUCUGGGAGGAACCUGCUCGGCCAGCGCGGUGCGCGGGCCUCGGGGCUCAGGGCGCCACCUGCUGGCGGCUGGGUCGACGCCGCGAACCGGCCCAGAGGAGCCGAGGUGGUGCCGACCCGGGGAGCCCCUCUUUCCCCGCCAGGCUCCACGUUUACCGGCUCGGAAAGCCAUCCCACCCGAGGGCGCCGCGAAUUAGCGACCCAGCAUGUCCCAGCGCCGAGCUUUCGUUCUGGCCGACACCCGGGGGCCCAAAUGCAGGCGGAAAACAUAACGAGAUCCUGCCCAACAAACUGUCUGUCUCAUCUCCACAACUAAAUUGGAAGCACCUGGAAAGUCGGGAACAAGGUUUGAUGUCAUCAUUCGGCCAGGGACAUGUGUUGACCAAAA